AAUAGAUACCCGGGUAGUCCACGCCGUAAACGAUGAGUGCUAAGUGUUAGAGGGUUUCCGUCCUUUAGUGCUGAAGUUAACGCAUUAAGCACUCCGCCUGGGGAGUACGGCCGCAAGGCUGAAACUCAAAGGAAUUGACGGGGGCCCGCACAAGCGGUGGAGCAUGUGGUUUAAUUCGAAGCAACGCGAAGAACCUUACCAGGUCUUGACAUCCUCUGACAACCCUAGAGAUAGGGCUUCUCCUUCGGGAGCAGAGUGACAGGUGGUGCAUGGUUGUCGUCAGCUCGUGUCGUGAGAUGUUGGGUUAAGUCCCGCAACGAGCGCAACCCUUGAUCUUAGUUGCCAUCAUUCAGUUGGGCACUCUAAGGUGACUGCCGGUGACAAACCGGAGGAAGGUGGGGAUGACGUCAAAUCAUCAUGCCCCUUAUGACCUGGGCUACACACGUGCUACAAUGGACGGUACAAAGAGCUGCAAGACCGCGAGGUGGAGCUAAUCUCAUAAAACCGUUCUCAGUUCGGA
rnacentral:rRNA from 1 species